rnacentral:lncRNA from 1 species
UAGCUUUCAGGCUUAAUGGUAAUUCGUUCUGCGCUGGUCUCAUGCAGCGAAUGCGCAGUAAGCUAUCUAAAAUUGUUUGGAAUACAGCAUCCCCAUCAACUGGAUAUAGGAAUUGCUUCGGUACAGUAUCACAGACAAGCUUAACUUAGCUCUCCGAGCGUCCGUCUGGCUCCUGCCUGCAGCCGCUAGCAACGUCCAUCACCUUUCGCAUGCCGCAAUCAUACUGGUCGUGCACCCCUCAUGCGCUAAUGCAAUAAGAAAACAGAUAACCCUGCUAUAUAUAAAACGAAAGUUUUUACUUACCGAAAACAGCAUCAGCUUGAUUUACGCUUUGUUGGUGUGCCCAAGUAUGUAACCGAUAUCGCUCGAGAGCAUCUCAGGCGGGCCAGGCGGGCACAACUCAGGAACACGGGUCCUAUCGCUGGGGAUUUCCAUCGUUGCCUUGGAUCAUGCCGCGAACGCGCUUGGGAAGAGUGCGUACUUUAGCAGGGGAAUAUCCCCUAUACCCGAGGGAUCCGGCAUGCUUCGGUAGGUGUGUUACUGACGCGUCUUGACACGCUCGUCACAAAAAGAAUGGUGUUAAUACGUGCAAACAGUGUAAAAUGCCCUGUCUUGUAUGCAGGCAGCGAUUUUUUACGAAGGACAAGGUGCCCCCUGAGAAAAUGGAAACCAUAAACUCGCCGUAAUGGGGGCCGUGGUCCAAGGGCGCUCAAAAGAGAGUGCCAUUUUUAACUCGUGCGAGCUCGGAUGAACUUGGGAGGGAUUUGAUACGCACUUGGUAUGGGCGCUUGUACCGCUCAUGGGUUAAAAACGUUUUCCCGUGAAAAUUGAAUGCAUGUCUCACGUUCAGCUUGGAAAACGUGCAUUAUCCAAAAACGGAUGCUUCUGGCGCACGUUCUCGCUGACAUGUUGUCAUAACGACAACCUCGCAUAGGCCGAUUGCGACCUCGGCGUUGCGUCGGGAUCCGCCAAAUGUCGCCAUCGCCAAGGCACGUCGCCAUGGACCCAAUCAUUGAGCCUGGAACUGCUUAAAACCCUGGAACUGCGUAACUCCUUACUCGCAAAGGCUAUGCUGUGCAUCCGCGCACCUGAACAUCAACUGCGACCUGCAAUGCGGGCGCAAAUCCGGUUCUGCGUCUCGUUACCGGGUUGCAAAACCCAGAC